AGAGAGAGAGAGAGAGAGAGAGAGAGAGAGAGAGAGAGAGAGAGGAUGUGGUGCAAGUUGCCAGCGAUAUACUCAUAACCAUAACCUGAAAAGAAUGAAAUCUUUGGGUCCUUGCACUGCUGAAUUAGAAUGACAAGGAGGGGAAGGAGGAGGAAGCUCAGGCAAAACUGCAGAGAUGGAGGCGAUUUUUUUUACUUGCACUGAAAUUCUGUUCACACACACACACACACACACACACACACACACACACACACACACACACACACACACACACACACACACACACACACACAAGCGCACGCGUUAUUUCCGGACAUAACAUCUCUCUUUAUUUUUCGUUAAAAUUUUUCGUUUUUUUCAUUCAAUAAGUAAAUGUUAGCGGCCCUUCAUUAAUAGAAAACAUCAUCACAACACUGCACCACACCAUACCACACCACAACACGCCACACAGCACCACACUGUACCACACCACAUCACACCACACCAAAUCACACUGCAUCGCUCCACACCACAAUCGCAAUGAUGUUUUCCAUUCGCAAUGAUGUUUUCCAUGCCCUCGCUGGCCUAAACCCUUGGAAGGCUUAUGGACCUGAUGGGGUCCCUCCUAUUGUUCUCCGAAACUGUGCCUCCGUGCUUGCACCUUGCCCAGUCAAACUCUUUCAGCUCUGUCUGUCAACAUCUACCUUUCCUUCUUGCUGGAAGUUUGCCUACAUUCAACCUGUUCCUAAAAAGGGUGACCGUUCUAAUCCCUCAAACUACUGUCCUAUUGCUUUAAUUUCCUGCCUAUCUAAAGUUUUUGAAUCUAUCCUCAACAGGAAGAUUCUUAAACAUCUAUCACCUCACAACCUUCUAUCUGAUCGCCAGUAUGAGUUCCGUCAAGGCCGCUCUACUGGUGAUCUUCUGGCUUUCCUUACUGAGUCUGCAGCCAGUGUGGCGGCGUAUCUUGUGUGGUGCGCGUGUGUAUCGCGUUGUGUUCCUCCUCAAAGACUUAGUGGUGGUCAAGAUAACCACGAUUGGCCAAGCCUUUCCCGAAGUGUGCUACCAGUAGUGUACAGGCUCCAUGAUACAAGGGAAUGCAGUACAAACGCAAGUCUCAACAGUAGAGAGUCAAAACCAUCCAGCACUCAGUGGCCCCAUCGCGCUGGUCAGUAGAGGACCCGAGGCCAUCAGACGCAGCGGAACCUUUCUGGGUCGUAAGGUGAUAGUCCGGGGGACGUAAAUAGCCAGACGACGCGAGGAGGAAAGUGCGGGAGACUGGAAUGAAGCGACUGGAGAGUUAUGAAGGAUGAUGCCGCCGAAGUCCCGAGCGGCUUCGAGACAAGGAAGAGAAGCUCCGCGACUCACUUGAGCCAGUCAGUCAGUGCUGUGACACAAGGAGCAGCUUUCUCAGCGACGGGGAGCGGUGGACGGCGGAUAAAUACUUCGGCUCCCGCGCCUUCUUCUGCAUCAUGUCCGACCCUCUGACCCUGGUGGUGGGCGACGUGCGUCAGAGGAGUUGAAAAUGUAUGGGACUCGCUGCUGUGCCCUGCGUGUAGCUGUGAGGUGAAGUGCAGACGGCUGCAUUGUCUCAGCCUCGGAGGUGCCACUUGUUCAAAUUACGAAUGGUUUAAUGUUAUUUUUUGCAGGCUGUGGAAUAUUGCAGUAUCUUAUAACAAGACAAAAUAUUAAUGAUAUAAAUAA